AUUGAACGCUGGCGGCAGGCCUAACACAUGCAAGUCGAGCGGUAGAGAGGUGCUUGCAUCUCUUGAGAGCGGCGGACGGGUGAGUAAUGCCUAGGAAUCUGCCUAGUGGUGGGGGAUAACGUUCGGAACGGACGCUAAUACCGCAUACGUCCUACGGGAGAAAGCGGGGAGUCUUCGGACCUCGCGCCAUUAGAUGAGCCUAGGUCGGAUUAGCUAGUUGGUGAGGUAAUGGCUCACCAAGGCGACGAUCCGUAACUGGUCUGAGAGGAUGAUCAGUCACACUGGAACUGAGACACGGUCCAGACUCCUACGGGAGGCAGCAGUGGGGAAUAUUGGACAAUGGGCGAAAGCCUGAUCCAGCCAUGCCGCGUGUGUGAAGAAGGUCUUCGGAUUGUAAAGCACUUUAAGUUGGGAGGAAGGGUAGUAACCUAAUACGUUGCUACUUUGACGUUACCGACAGAAUAAGCACCGGCUAACUUCGUGCCAGCAGCCG
rnacentral:rRNA from 1 species